GACGAACCGUCCAAACGUUAUUCGGAAUCACUGGGCUUAAAGCGUGCGUAGGCGGCCUUCCAAGUGAGGUGUGAAAGUCCUCGGCUCAACCGAGGAAUUGCGCUUCAGACUGGUCGGCUAGAGGGAGAUAGAGGUGAGCGGAACAGGUGGUGGAGCGGUGAAAUGCGUUGAUAUCACCUGGAACACCCGUGGCGAAAGCGGCUCACUGGGUCUUUUCUGACGCUGAGGCACGAAAGCUAGGGGAGCGAACGGG
rnacentral:rRNA from 1 species